UACGGGGGGGGCAAGCGUUGUUCGGAAUUACUGGGCGUAAAGGGCUCGUAGGCGGCCAACUAAGUCAGACGUGAAAUCCCCAGGCUCAACCUGGGAACUGCGUCCGAUACUGGUGGGCUCGAAUCCGGGAGAGGGAUGUGGAAUUCCAGGUGUAGCGGUGAAAUGCGUAGAUAUCUGGAGGAACACCGGUGGCGAAGGCGGCAUCCUGGACCGGUAUUGACGCUGAUGCGCGAAAGCCAGGGGAGCAAACGGG
rnacentral:rRNA from 1 species